rnacentral:rRNA from 1 species
CGAAGGGGGCUAGCGUUGUUCGGAAUUACUGGGCGUAAAGGGCGCGUAGGCGGCUGCCCAAGUCAGAUGUGAAAGCCCCGGGCUUAACCUGGGAAUUGCAUUUGAGACUGGGCGGCUUGAGUUCCGGAGAGGUGGGUGGAAUUCCCAGUGUAGAGGUGAAAUUCGUAGAUAUUGGGAAGAACACCGGUGGCGAAGGCGGCCCACUGGACGGACACUGACGCUGAGGCGCGAAAGCGUGGGGAGCAAACAGGAUUAGAUACCCUGGUAGUCCACGCUGUAAACGAUGAGUGCUAGACGUUGGGGCUCUUAGAGUCUCGGUGUCGCAGCUAACGCAUUAAGCACUCCGCCUGGGGAGUACGGCCGCAAGGUUA